CAGGUCUGUGAUUGCCUUAGAUGUUUGGGCCGCACGCGCGCUACACUGAUGCAUUCAACGAGCCUAUCCUUGGCCGAGAGGUCCGGGUAAUCUUUGAAACUGCAUCGUGAUGGGGAUAGAUUAUUGCAAUUAUUAGUCUUCAACGAGGAAUGCCUAGUAAGCGCAAGUCAUCAGCUUGCGUUGAUUACGUCCCUGCCCUUUGUACACACCGCCCGUCGCUCCUACCGAUUGGGUGUGCUGGUGAAGUGUUCGGAUUGGUACCAGCGGUGGGAAGCUACUGCUGGCGCUGAGAAGAACAUUAAACCCUCCCACCUAGAGGAAGGAGAAGUCGUAACAAGGUUUCCGUAGGUGAACCUGCGGAAGGAUCAUUG
rnacentral:rRNA from 1 species